GCGAAUUCAGUGGCAGUAAUAUCAGACUGGGAUCUAGGGGAGACAGCUACUACGAAUAUCUUAUUAAAGUAUGGCUUCAGCAUAGGGACAGAAACUACACAUAUUUAUAUGACAUGUAUGCAGAAGCAAUAAAAGGUGUCAAACACCUUCUUGUUCAAAAAUCUACUCCAAACGGAUUGGUCUUUGUUGGGGAGUUACCUUCUGGGUAUGGUGCUGAAUUCAGUCCAAAAAUGGACCACUUGGUAUGCAUUUCUAAACUGUUUUUUUGCCUCAAUUUUACUCAACCAAAGUAUGUCUGUAUAGAGGCAUAUUUGUUGGUAUUUGCUAAUAUAAAACAUGAAGCAGAUAUUUCGACCAGAAGUAUUCUGUAUAUUGGAAGGAUUGAGGAAUAUGGAUACGGACAAUACAAUUGAUACAAACAAUUAAAUUCUGCCCCUGGUUAUUUAAUACAUCCCCUUUAAGCUACAUGAACAAUUCGCCUUGUUUAAACUUUUUGAUGUAGUUUUCAGUGCCAAUCAAGGUGCAAAUUAAGUCCUCCGUUUUCUUUUACCUAUAUCUAAAAAAUGAGUAACUAAUCGCUCAAUGGUCAUUUUGAAAAUCUCUUUACUAUGUAACAUAUAUACUUGGUAAGAUAUCUCUAUACAUGUGCACUAUAAGAAAUUUACUUUUGACCUUACAACUUUGUUUUUCUCUGCUAUCUUAAGCUGCUAAGAGGAUUGUUCCAAGAAAAUGACGUUGGGCAUGGUUUCGAUCCAAGUAUAGUUUUAGGUUUAUUAUGCUAUACUUGUAAUUGUCCGCAUCCUUUGAUGCAUUGAUUAGAGAUCGUCUGCAAGUUAUUACAUUAAUUUCUUUGUUUCACCUGAUGCUCAUAAAAUAUGUCUUUGAAUACUAUACACUUUGUGAUUGUAAAAUAACAUCCUUCAUGCUCAUUUGCAUCGCUCUCCCUUGAUACAUGUAUCCACAUAUAACAGUGACAUGUAUCAUUACUUGUGUAAUAUAUAUAUUGAGCUCAGUAUCUGAGGUGUUCGGAAAUUAUUAUUUGUGGUUGGCUUAGUAGUUCCAGUUCUCUCAUUUUAAGCUAUUAUAUUGAUGAUAAACCAUCUACUGAAAGCCUGGCACAACAUCCUGGGUUGGUUUUUCCUAGAAGAUUUUCAGACUUAAAUACUAAUAUUUACAAUUUUUAGGUUUGUUUCCUUCCUGGGACUCUUGCACUUGGUGCUACCAAAGGUAUAACGAAGGAAAAGGCUAUGAGAGAAAAUUUGCUCACUUUCGAAGACAUUGAAAACCUGAAGCUUGCAGAAGAGUUGGCAAAAACAUGCUUUGAGAUGUACUCCGUAACUGCCACUGGUCUUGCUCCAGAAAUAGCCUACUUUAGUGUGAAGGUUAGUUGAACUCUCAUAUCAUCUAGUGUUUUUAAAUGUGCUGGUUCAUAAUUAUUUCUAUCUUAAAUUCAGGGGGACUCUGAAGAAGGUUCUGAUGGUGGAAACAAAAGUUCAAAGUAUCUACAUGACAUAAUUAUCCACCCUGCUGAUCGUCACAAUCUCUUACGUCCUGAAACUGUUGAAUCAUUGUUUGUCUUGUAUCGUAUCACAGAAGAUCAGAAGUAAGAUCCAUUUGUUUGUAAUAUUGGAUUAUAUAUUUUGUUCCAUGCUUUUAUUUCACAUAAUGUUAAUAGUUACAUCUACUGUUUGACGACGCAUGCAGAUAUCGUGAAUGGGGUUGGGAAAUAUUUGAGGCAUUUGAGAAGUAUACAAAAGUUGAUUCUGGAGGUUACACUUCUUUAGAUGAUGUUACUGUGGUUCCUCCUCGAAGAAGGGACAAGAUGGAAACCUUCUUCUUGGGUGAAACGCUGAAGUAUCUAUAUUUACUGUUUUCAGAUAACAAAACUAUUCCCUUGGAUGAGUUUGUUUUUAACACAGAAGCUCAUCCAUUGCCAAUCAGAAGUAAUGCUAAGAGGGAAUGAUAUUCUGACUGCAGCACUGGCAAUUGUACAAUUCCCAUCUUGUUGUUCCUCUAAAUGGAACCAUGUAAUGAACAUUGUUCAAUUGUUGUAUCUUAAAGCAGUAGGGAUCCUGGCCCAUUAUAUUGACAAAUAGCAUUGGGGAUAACUUCAUUUACUCAUCUACAGUGCACGACCUCAGGCUGCCUCUUAACACACUAAAAUUCCCAAUUACGGGAAAAGGUUUUGGAGUUCUUUAUACAGUACGCGUGGCGUAAUACAUCAUUGCAGUGUUGCAUGUUGAUCUUCUGUUUAUUAUAUCUGUCAGGAUAACCUUAACUAUAUUCUAGACUGUUGGUCGGAUAAGUGGAAGUUUCUUCUCAGUUUCGUAUCAUUGUCAAUAUAUCUCUGGUACGAUAAACAAAUGGUCUCCAUAUUGGAUGACAUUUGAUUUUCUGAUUCUGGUUUCUCCAGAUUUACAGCUUUGGUAGGAUAAUGGCCUCCAAAGUUGCAAUUCUGUAUGGCAGAGGAUGAUAAAUUCAUUAAACAUCAACCUGAGGCUGAGUAGCAGUUUAUUCCAGUAGCACAGCGAUUCCUUUUCUGGAUCUGUGCUUUUUUGAGUUUCAGUUGAAUAUGGAUUUGCUGACAAUAAGUAUAUAGAUUAAGUUAAUGACUUGUAUCUGUAAUUUCAGGUUUGUUCAAAGUCAUACAAGGCUUCCCCGCGAUACGGAAUACUUCUUCUAUGAAAUCAGGUCAGAUUAUUAACGUUGCAAGCUGCUUUGAUGGUGCACUUUGUUUUAUAAUCUUCGUGUGGGUGGAGAGUCUUUUUAUUGAAUUUAUUAAAAAUAAGUCUCAGACCGAUGCUUUAAAUUAGUUGAGCCAUAUAAAAUCAAAAUAUCAAUGUAUGGAUCGAAAUAACUGAUUUUCCCAUUUGGUGUUGGUUUAAAUCUUUUAGUAGUGGUAGAUUUUAUGAAAAAAUUUCUUUGUGCUCAUCCAUUGACCUCCCAGUUUUAUAGUUUGUACAUCGUCAUUUUGGGAUGUGCUUCCAUGCUAUUCUGCUAGAGCUUUUGGUGUCUACUUAUUGAAAUAUGGAUUGUUGCUACAACCUUCUUCCAACAACAUCCUUGCAGUUUUAUGGCGCCUCUAGCAAAUGCUCCUUUAUUGACUUCACAUUCAUCCUAUAUAUGUAUUAAACAUUAUUGCCUUUUGCUUCCACAUCUCCACAAAAUAACAUCUGCUUUUGUGACAUAAAAAUGGAUUUCUCCCUCCGGCUCACUAUCCAGCGGCUGGCUGAAGUAUCAUUUCUGCUGUUUAAACUUUUUCUUCAAGUUCUCCCAUUUCCUUAUAAAACAGAAAUACAGAAUUGAACUUUUUGAAAUAGCGCCCAUCUAUAAUUAUGAAGGUCUAAAAUUUACUGAAGAAAAUAUUCCUGAAAAAUUUUCCUCCCCAUUUGCCUCAGUAUUGGCCAUUGGAGCAAAUUGACUAGGUCUAUGUAUUUGAGGACUUUCAGCGGUUUCGCCAGUAAUUGGUUGUGGUAUGUAGCACAGAACCCCUGGUUCUCCAAACACAAACCCGGAAAUACCUAUUGGAAAAGAACUUGCAUGACUGAUUUUCCGAACAGGGAGCUGACUCGCCUAAGACAGCGUACUGUGCACAGGCUUAGGGCUAAAACUUUGUUCACUUUUGUGAUCCGCAAGCUGAAGACUUAUAAAGUGUAAUGGUAAAUUAGGUCGAUAUGUACGUGUUACAGGCUAUAACAUUAUGUAGAUAUAACAUAUCAAGUACACAAUUAUAUGCAUACCGGAUUUAACAAGUAACAACUCAUGUAGGUCGGCCCAAAAAUGCUGACAAAUUGGUACAUAUUAGUUAUUUUUUUGUGCUUAUAUCUUGGUGGAGAACAUGAUUAAAUGAUGUAAUAUACCUAAGUGAUACUCCUGUUUCUGGGUCCAUGAAGACGCAGAUAAGGCAGACAGUCUAUUAACAUAUGCGGCAGAGAAGUUGAAAUCAGUAUUAAAGUUGAUUAGGCCAACUCCACUUUUUUUGUAAAUAACUGUUACUCACAACUUGCUUUCAGAAAAGGGAACAAAACUGGCGGGAGCGAAUUCGAAUAUAUAUUAUCACCGCAAUAAUUUAAUAACCAGGAAACGAUGUUCCUGAAACAAUUCACAAAGCCAUUCAAGCACAGUAGGAGACUACGAGUUGCCCUCCUGCUGUAUAUGUCAAGAGCAUCUUCAAUGGGGCUCUUAAAUCACUCUUUAAAAUAUUAUUAUAUAAUAUUGGCUUCUACUGAAUUAAGACAUUGAAAAAGAUUUUAUCUCCAAUGCUCCUCUUUAGACUUACUCCUUAUUCAUAUUUUAUUCAUAUAAAUGAGAGUGAAAAAUAAAAAGAAAGAAAUGUUGGUGGUAAAGUUGGAGGGAAGGUAAUAUUAUAUUCAUGAAAAAAUGUUAAGAGCUCCUACAUACUCUUUAAAAUAGAGGAGAGAUGACGAGCUCUUAAUUUUUUAAAGAGCUUCAAAGAGCCCAUUGGAGCUCUAUUUCUUGCAUUACUCUUUAAAUUUGAAGUUAAAAACUCAUUUAGAGAUCCCUUUGGAGAUGCUCUAAGAAACAAAAGUUACUGAUUUGAUAUGGGGUUCAAUUAUCGUUUGUUAAAGUUGACUAUUGGAGUAAUUUCACUAUAGGGAAAUAGAAUCUCAUCUACUUGUAAUAUUUUGAUUGAAAUUCGGUGUAUAUUUGUACAAAAAUGAGUAAACGAGGGAGUGGAAUUAACUUUUGAUAAUGGAGGAACAACGGCGGUGGACCAGUCCCGGUUCUCAAUACACGGAAGAAUGUGCAAGAAAAUUGAGUGUGAACCCCAGUGGUGGGAACACCCUUUGUUCUUUUCUUAAUUUUUUCAAAUCUUUGUGUUUACAUGUUUUAAAUAAUUAAAUAUGUUUUGGGUUAAACCACAAAUAAAGUAUAGUCUGAUCCCUUUAAUCCUGCAAAUGUAGAAAAAGCAAAUGUGUACAGCUAGUAAAAAGACUGGAGGUACACAGUACUUUGCAGACUCAACACCCCUUUCCUUGGAAUCUUUUUUGUACUAUAAAAUCACACUUGCUCUGUCUACUCUUUCUUCAAACUCCCAACACAAAAACACACACACACACACACACACACACACACUUACAAGAGUUUGAAGAUGGCUUGGAGCUCACCAAGAUGGAAAUGGGUGGCAGUUUGUACUUUUGUAAUGGCUCAUACAGUUGCUGCUCAAGUUGAAGAUGGUAUCACUUCUUUCUUUCUCUUUUCUACAAAUUACAACUAUUCUUCUUAUUCUUUUUUAUUAUUAUUUGCAAAAGAUUAGUCUGUGUUUAUGGGAGUUAUAGUUUCAAUUUCUUAUAUUGUCAUGGGUGUGGUUUGAUUUCAUGGGUGUUCAUGUUCUUUCUUUAAAAUGAGAUCUGAGCAAAUACUGAGACUCGUGGAUAUGGAAUAUUUUAAUCACUUUUGAAGUACUCACAUUUAUGUCAAUAGGACAGUCAAUUCUCCUGUAUCAUGAACUACACAAACUCUUCUUUCACUUAAAGUUUCUGACCCCAAAAACAUGAGUUUGGUGCUGGAACCUUUAUUUUAGUGUAAAUUAUUGAAAUUUACGAUGUACCUAUUUCAGCCUCUUUUUUUUUUUUUUUCAGAUGUUGCCUUUGUGUUCAUCUAACUUGCAUGUUCUACUUUCCUACCUAUAUAUCAUUCAUUUGUUCAUCAAUUUAUAUUGGUGUCAGGGUUAUACAUUUUUCUUUGGUUUAGCGAGUGACUAAGCAUGUCCAAACCAGUACUAAAUGCUUGGUAAUUUUUUAAGUCAUUUACCUUUUUCUCGUCAUUUGAUUGCAGCCCUUCAUCUGGCGAAUUCAGUGGCAGUAAUAUCAGACUGGGAUCUAGGGGAGACAGCUACUACGAAUAUCUUAUUAAAGUAUGGCUUCAGCAUAGGGACAGAAACUACACAUAUUUAUAUGACAUGUAUGCAGAAGCAAUAAAAGGUGUCAAACACCUUCUUGUUCAAAAAUCUACUCCAAACGGAUUGGUCUUUGUUGGGGAGUUACCUUCUGGGUAUGGUGCUGAAUUCAGUCCAAAAAUGGACCACUUGGUAUGCAUUUCUAAACUGUUUUUUUGCCUCAAUUUUACUCAACCAAAGUAUGUCUGUAUAGAGGCAUAUUUGUUGGUAUUUGCUAAUAUAAAACAUGAAGCAGAUAUUUCGACCAGAAGUAUUCUGUAUAUUGGAAGGAUUGAGGAAUAUGGAUACGGACAAUACAAUUGAUACAAACAAUUAAAUUCUGCCCCUGGUUAUUUAAUACAUCCCCUUUAAGCU
rnacentral:lncRNA from 1 species